AGUAGGCAUUGAAGCGUAAGUCGGUGAUAAUCACGACAAGCCGACGCCUCAACACGUAACCGUAACGUCAAAUGCCACGACACGGUCCAAGACGGAUCGAAAGUCACUUUCAACAGUGGCAACGGCAACGUCAACGGCAGCGGCAGCGGCAGGGCGCGUUCAUUGUCAUCGCCCCCACCUGCCACCGUGCCCCACGCCAGGCAGUGAAAAUUGCAGGAUAAUCACAGAGACUUGAGUUCUCAAGUGAAGGCCAGAGGGCGAAGGCUGAGAGAACGGAAUGCCUUUGGGGACGAGUCAGACUCUGUUUAUGCGUGUCCGUUUGCCUUUAGUUUUCAUCAACAAUUUGUAUCGUCGAUAUUGUGCCGGAAAGCCUCCCCCGCCCUUCUGUCGAUUUGAUCUGCGCCCGCUGCAAUUUCCUUAAAUUGCUCGUAAAUCGUUUGGAAUUUUCACUUGUCUCAGUUUGGAUUCUCCCUUGAAAGACUUCCACUUCCCCCACAUACUUCACAUAAUUCAGCAAACAUUUUCCCAUUUCACAUGGAGCGCAAGGACCAUAAACCAAAUAAAUCAAUAAAAAAUUAUGCGAAGUAAUGCAUGGAAAAGAAAUGGAAAUGGAAAUGUAAAUGGGGGAAAAUUGUGGAGGAAAAGCCGUAAGCAAGAGCAAGCGAAUCCGUAGAAGGCCGCAGCGAUGAAAUGAAAAACAAACUGUGCGCCACGGCCACGGCAUUUCUAGAUUUUUCCCAUUCAUAUAUCCCGUUUUCCCUUCAGUUUGUACUUAUUUCGUCCUGGCAAACGCAAUCCCCGGCAAUGCGAGGCCAACGACAGCGUCAGCAUCGAGAGAGAAAUUUUAAACGGCAUCUAAAGCUGCAAAUAUGAAACUUAUGGCAAUAAUAUUGAUGUCGUCUUUGACUCAGGGAUACUGGAACUUGCACAGCACAGCCACAAUCCCUGCCAAGCAACGGCAACCCGCAUCAAAAGAGUAUGCCUGGCAGCGGCAAAAGGACCCCAGAACCGAACCCGUACCAAUACCAGUGCCAGAACUGAAGGAUGAAGAUGAGGACAAGAAGGACAAACGAAUUGCGAUAAAGAUAAAUAAGCAGAGAUACACUUGA